GACAGAGGUCCCGAGCGUUAGGCGGAAUCACUGGGCUUAAAGCGUGUGUAGGCGGAUCGUUAAGUGCCUUGUGAAAUCCCAUGGCUUAACCAUGGAACUGCUUGGCAUACUGGCGGUCUUGAGCCACUUAGGGGCAACCGGAACAAAUGGUGGAGCGGUGAAAUGCGUAGAUAUCAUUUGGAACGCCAAUGGUGAAAACAGGUUGCUGGGGGUGUGCUGACGCUGAGACACGAAAGCCAGGGGAGCGAACGGG
rnacentral:rRNA from 1 species